rnacentral:rRNA from 1 species
CCCUUAGAUGUCCUGGGCCGCACGCGCGCUACACUGAUGCAUGCAACGAGUUUAUAACCUUGGCCUGAAAGGUCUGGGUAAUCUUUUGAACGUGCAUCGUGAUAGGGAUAGAUUAUUGCAAUUGUUAAUCUUGAACGAGGAAUUCCUAGUAAACGCGAGUCGUCAGCUCGCAUUGAUUACGUCCCUGCCCUUUGUACACACCGCCCGUCGCACCUACCGAUUGAAUGGUUCGGUGAAGAUCUCGGACUUCGAUAUUUAUUCUUUAUUGAGUUUAUAUUGUGGGAAGUUAUCUAAACCUCAUCAUUUAGAGGAAGGUGAAGUCGUAACA